UGGGGAAUAUUGCACAAUGGGCGAAAGCCUGAUGCAGCGACGCCGCGUGAGGGAUGACAGCCUUCGGGUUGUAAACCUCUUUCAGCAGGGACGAAGCGCAAGUGACGGUACCUGCAGAAGAAGCACCGGCUAACUACGUGCCAGCAGCCGCGGUAAUACGUAGGGUGCAAGCGUUGUCCGGAAUUACUGGGCGUAAAGAGUUCGUAGGCGGUUUGUCGCGUCGUUUGUGAAAACCAGCAGCUCAACUGCUGGCUUGCAGGCGAUACGGGCAGACUUGAGUACUGCAGGGGAGACUGGAAUUCCUGGUGUAGCGGUGAAAUGCGCAGAUAUCAGGAGGAACACCGGUGGCGAAGGCGGGUCUCUGGGCAGUAACUGACGCUGAGGAACGAAAGCGUGGGUAGCGAACAGG
rnacentral:rRNA from 1 species